rnacentral:misc_RNA from 1 species
GACGGAGUGGAAAAGCAUGACCAGAAAACAUUUCAACGGAAAAGAAAAAAGGGUAUGAACAUGCCUAGCAGAGCAUCAAAACGGCUUGCUGGUAUUAAAGCUGAUACAUCUCUUAAGCUCCAAACAAAUGAUCAAACCCAGCUAACUUCAGUUAGACAGCAGGAGGGGACACAAGCUGCCACCUCCGAUAACCCUUUGAAUUUUACUAAUACCAGUAAGCAUGUUGCAAGUACAGUAACUGGUAUAACCAUCAACAAGAAGGUAGAAACUGGGAAUCUGACCAUUAAAAGGAAACAACAUCUUGUUACUUCACCACAAACGGAGGGAGAGAAGAAGCCUUCUCCAGCUGAACCUGCAAAAACUGUCCUUGCUAGCUGUGAUGUCGAUAAGAAAGGUGAAACAGCUCUUGAAUCAUCUUUAAGUGAUCUUUGGACGGACCCGUGCAUAGAAUUUGCUAUAAAAACUCUAACCGGUACAAUUCCAGUCAUAAACGAAAAGAAACUGGAUGAGAUCCCGGGUUCUAGUUCUAGCAAGCCCUCUGUUAAUACUCCUUCCUCUGUGGGCUUACCUUCUGAUGAAAUAUGGGCAGAUCCUUGCUUCAUGUUUGCUGUCAAGACUCUUACUGGUGAAAUACCGAUAGGGGAC